UACUUAUUUUUCUCAUCGCAUCUCCAGGGGCAAAACCGGAGAGGAAGCAGCUCGUAGUAUUUUAAAGACUUCCCUUAGGAAACGUGGCCGGCAGCUCCCAAAAGCUAGGCAGGCGGCGAGGUAAGGCCUGCAGCGGAGGACGGCCGAGCGCAGCACUGGCAGAGGCUCUCCCGCUUUCCUUACAGGAGCACCACUUGAUAUGGCCAUUAGGAAAAAAAUUACUGGGAUUGCAGUGAGGCACUCCAGGAGGACAGGCCGGACUCCAAAAGAUGGCAACGUCCAGAAAUCCCAUCGACAUCCACUGAAGCUAGAUGUUCUCCGCUUCCAUGUGAACGUACCAACCCGAGUGGCAAGACUAGCCAAGCAACAGCCACAUAUUCAAUUGGAUACCAC